UGGGGAAUAUUGCACAAUGGGGGGAACCCUGAUGCAGCGACGCCGCGUGAGCGAAGAAGUAUUUCGGUAUGUAAAGCUCUGUCAGCAGGGAAGAAGAUGACGGUACCUGACCAAGAAGCUCCGGCUAAAUACGUGCCAGCAGCCGCGGUAAUACGUAUGGAGCAAGCGUUAUCCGGAUUUACUGGGUGUAAAGGGAGCGCAGGCGGUGCGGCAAGUCUGGUGUGAAAUUCCGGGGCCCAACCCCGGGACUGCAUUGGAAACUGUCGCGCUGGAGUGUCGGAGGGGCAGGCGGAAUUCCUAGUGUAGCGGUGAAAUGCGUAGAUAUUAGGAGGAACACCGGUGGCGAAGGCGGCCUGCUGGACGACAACUGACGCUGAGGCUCGAAAGCGUGGGGAGCAAACAGGAUUAGAUACCC
rnacentral:rRNA from 1 species